UGCCACCCAUUUAAUAAUGCAAGUGGAGAACUCGAACAUGCACUAACUUGGCUUUUCCACUCAUUAAUAGACCAUGUCAAUAGAAGUGUGAAUCUUUAUUAAAGCAUUUCUGCUUAAUCAAGCCUCAUUAUCAUCAAUACGAGAAACUAAGCCUUCUGUAUGAUGUUUGAGAAACUACAAAGAAUAAAUGAUUUUUUUACUCAAAUGCAUAAAAUGGCGAGCCUAAACACUAAUGUCCAAAUUUAUCAAAUUUCAUGAAGAAAAGUUAGUUUUUCUUAGAAUUUUUUUAGUUUGUCAAUUAAAUGAAGUCAUUGUUGGAGUGCUUAGUCAGACAAUGGCAAUUUGGAGAUUAAGGAGCUACAGUGGAGUAUUACAGUUUUUGCAGAAAAAAUUCCAUCAAUGAUGAAACCAUGGUUUUGGUUCGAUUGCUAUCAACAAGAGCGCAUUCGUACAUGGAUCACUCGAGAUCGAAUAAUUAUCUUCUGAAGCAACAAAUAUAAUGCUUCAAGAAACCAAGACCUUCUCUUAUACGUGCCAGUCCAUAGAAAGAUGGUACCAAUCUGUAGAAAAUUACCAAAUAGAUGCAUACAAAACACAGAAACAUUGACUACUAUGGGUUUUCAUGAUCGACAAAAGAUAAGUAACACUACAAUUUCCACCUAUGUACCAAGAUCUCAUGGAAGCAACAAAUUUGCAAGGCAUCUAAUUCUACCAGUUUAAUUGAAAACUCUAAUACCAUCAGUGGAGGAGCAAAGUAAUACUCACAGGUUGAGUAGCUCAGUGCGUUUCUGACAACGGCGUGAGCAUCAACGUCUAGUGCCACUGAUCAACCAGCACAGAGAUGGCGCAUAAGAUGAGGAGAUGGGAGAUCAGUGUCAGCAGGAGAGAUCAUCAGAACAGUGUUGUUGUACAUAGGGG
rnacentral:lncRNA from 1 species